GAUGAACGCUGGCGGCGUGCCUAAUACAUGCAAGUCGAGCGAACGGACGAGAAGCUUGCUUCUCUGAUGUUAGCGUCGGACGGGUUAGUAACACGUGGAUAACCUACCUAUAAGACUGUGAUAACUUCGUUAAACCGGAGCUAAUACCGGAUAAUAUUUUGAACCGCAUGGUUCAAAAGUGAAAGACUGUCUUGCUGUCACUUAUUGAUGGAUCCGCGCUGCAUUAGCUAGUUGGUAAGGUAACGGCUUACCAAGGCAACGAUGCAUAGCCGACCUGAGAGGGUGAUCGGACACACUGGAACUGAGACACGGUCCAGACGCCUACGGGAGGCAGCAGUAGGAAAUCUUCGGCAAUGGGGGAAAGCCUGACGGAGCAACGCCGAGUGAGUGAUGAAGGUCUUCUAAUCGUAAAACUCUGUUAUUAGGGAAGAAAAGAUGUGUAAGUAACUGUGCACAUCAUGACGGUACAUAAUCAGAAAGCCACGGCUAACUAAGGG
rnacentral:rRNA from 1 species